rnacentral:SRP_RNA from 1 species
UCGUGCUAGGCGGGGAGUUAGCGGUGCCCUGUACCUGCAAUCCGCUACAGCAGGGCUGAAUUCCGGCAUGAGGUCCUUCCUUUCAGCCCCGGUUGGGGAAACGGGGUGUUGAGGGCUGGGUCCUGCGCGACGAAUCCUCGCCAACCCCGCCAGGCCCGGGAGGGAGCAACGGUACGCGAGGCUCUUCGGGUGCCGCAGGGGUGCCUGGCCGGAGCUACCAGCCUCGACACGGCCUGGGAGGGAGCGAUCGAGUGACGGUGCACGA